GAACACAGCCACAAAGGGGUGAGGCCUCCUCGUCCUGCUUACACACCUUCUUCGAAUGGGAACCUCUACACGUGUGAUACGACAAGUGUCAAUCAAAGAGGCCAUCCAGUCAGCAGCAAAUGGCAGAGCCGUCUGCAGGACAUGUUGACACCCAGUUCAUCACGUGCCUACGCCAUGGGCUGUGCUAUCAUCACUUUGCUUCUACUAACAGUGUUUCUCAUUUUCUACUUUUUGGUCCAGCAGGGCGGCGCAAUCCAGAUGUUGACAGAUGCAGUGAGGGAGAAAGAAGCUGCUGCCACAGAGCUGUCACUACUGAUCCAAGAGCUGCAGGCACUGAGACACAACCUGACGGCAAGGAGAGGGGGGACAUGACGAAGAUACACCAAAAAAUACAGUACACUUUAAAUAUGGACGUGAGACAUGGGACAAAGUGCAUUAAAACUGUGCUUUACACUGAAAAUUCCCUUGAAGCAGACACAUUUGUCUGUCAAGAUGAAAUGAAUGUGAUAGAACCGUGCAAUUAAGAGACAUUUCUAUAAACUUUCCAUCCCAAAGUCACAUUAUCAAAACAGCAUGACUGGUUGGAUUAGAAUAAUUUAGUUGGUUUAUCUCAUGAUGUUACAUCACACAUUUAACAUUUACAGAAAUCAAAUUCUUCAUCAUUAUUUCUCAAACUAACAAGUGAAUUUGAAAUUGUUUUGUGCUGUCAAUCACUUGUGUGAGCAGGUGUCAAUGAUAUUUCA